AAUCAUCCUCUGGAGGCGGGGAAAGGAUCACAGAAAGAGCUAAGCUAGAGGGACAGCUAGUCAAGGCAAAGCAGCAGCGCUCUGCGAAAACGACUUUUACCCAUCCACAGCAAACAUCCACGACGUUUAAACCCCACGGAUUGCUCACUUAAAUGUUCCCAUGGAUUACUAAUACACUUUCGUCGAAGAACAGGAGUGUUUCUCAACUUGACAGCCUCGCCUGGGUUUCGUCACACUGGUCACCUAGAGGACUCAUAGAGAGAUGAAGACUCUGGAGGAGCCCCCCUACCUGACGGUAGGGACGGAUGUGAGUGCCAAGUACCGAGGGGCUUUCUGCGAGGCCAAGAUUAAGACCGCCAAGAGGCUCGUCAAGGCCAAG